rnacentral:lncRNA from 1 species
GAUCUCACCAAUAUUCUCUCUAGAAACAUUAAGUUCCUAAUGAUGUAUGUCAUCUGGAUAUUUCAGAAUGUCAUGGUCAAAGUGAAUAACAUUAAAAAAGAUUCUAAAAUGAAAAAAGGUAGCAUAUAAAUGAAUUCUAAAUCAUAACAUCAUUAUAGUAAUGUGAGAACCUAGAGCAAGGAUUGGGAAACUGUCUGUCAAUAAAGUUUUACUGAAAAAAAGCCACACUUAUUUGUUCACAAGUUGUCUAUGGUUGCUUUGGAGCCAAAACAGCAGAGUUGAGCAGCUGGCUCACAAAGCCUAAAAAUUUGAUAUCUCCCUCUUUAUAGAAAAAAAAAUUGCCAUUUCCUAAAUGAGAAGGUAACCGAGUGAUGCUUUCAAAAUUAUAAGAACAUAUGGUUUAUAACUGAUAAUUUAUUACCACCCACAUUAAAAAUUAAUUAUGAAUGUAGAAUAAUGGCCUUUUCAGACAUGUAAAAUUGUGCAUACGUACUUCUUGAACAUCAUUUCUCAUAAAGCUAAAAAAGUUGAAGACAAUUUGCAGGGAAAUUGAGUAAAGCAAAUUUCCAGAUGAAAUCUGUAGAGCAAACAGUAUAAUUUGAAGCCAGCAGAUGGAAGGUUUAGUAGGGAUAUUCUGAUGAAUAAAUAAUAUUGCUAGAAUAGUUGAUAAAUAUGUUCAGAGUGCAGUUGAAGCCCUUGGGAUGACUUAGGUACACACACAUUUUAAAUCAAAUGCAAAAUAGAAGGCAAGUAUACCAUCAGAGAAGCAAAGGUUUAUAUAAGAGAGAAAAUAGGAGAGCAUACUUGGUGAAUUAACUGGAAACAAUAUUACCUGGCCUCCCAAAAGAUGGUAUAGCCACAUUUGGAAGAUGGGGAUAAGGAUGUAUGUACAGUUAUGUGUGUGUUUGUGUAUGGGGAACAGCACAUACAGCAGCUAAUCUUCCUCUUUGAUGUGAGAAUGAAUAGCAAUUUAAUUAUGUUAUUAUGACAUACAAAUGUGAAUACUCUAAGAAAUACUUCUCUUGCUCCUUUUCUCUCCAUGUGGCAGGCUGGCUCUCCUUGCCUUCCACCAUGAGUAAAUGUUUCCUGAGGCCACACCAGAAGCUAAGCAGAUGCCAGCACAUGUUUUCUGUGCAGCCUGCCGAGCUGCUAGCCAAGUGAUACUCAGUUUUGGCCUUGGGAAUGAAUUCCCUCUGUUGACUCCAUAAGAUGUGAGGAAUGUGUGAAAAGACUUGAGUUCUGGUGUGUUCUGAAGCGUGAAGACCUAACAGGUAACCUUCAGCUCUACUUGGCUUUCUCAUUCUUCCUGAUGUUCCUGGGAAUUUUAGAAAUUCCUCUGGUGGUUUCAGUAACAUUCUAAUAAAAACUUAUGAGACCAGUCAUUUAACAGAGGACCAUUAUGGCUAAUUAUAAAGUAAAAUAUUGACUAGCAUAAUGUAUUAUAGAUUAAAUCUUUAUAUUACAUUUUUAUUAUAAAAUACUACUGGUUGAGUAUCUAUAAUGUGUCAGCUAAUGGGAUAAACAUUUUAAAUGUAAAAGAUUAAUACAAAGAUGUAAAUGGAAGAGCUUGUGGG